rnacentral:rRNA from 1 species
UACGGGGGGAGCAAACGUUGUUCGGAAUCAUUGGGCGUAAAGCGCGUGUAGGCGGUCCGGUAAGUCCGCUGUGAAAGUCGGGGGCUCAACCCUCGGAUGCCGGUGGAUACUGUCGGGCUUGAGUACGGAAGAGGCGAGUGGAAUUCCUGGUGUAGCGGUGAAAUGCGCAGAUAUCAGGAGGAACACCGGUGGCGAAGGCGGCAUCCUGGACCGGUAUUGACGCUGAUGCGCGAAAGCCAGGGGAGCAAACGGG